rnacentral:rRNA from 1 species
AUACGGAGGACGCGAGCGUUAUCCGGAUUCAUUGGGAUUAAAGGGUGCGCAGGCGGCCGUGCAAGUCAGCGGUGAAAGCCCGGGGCUCAACCCCGGAAGUGCCGUUGAUACUGCAUGGCUGGAAUGCGGUCGAGGCGGGCGGAACGUGGCGGGGAGCGGUGAAAAGCGUGGAUAUGCCACAGAACGCGGGUAGCGGAGGACGGUCCCCGGGCCUGCAUUGACGCUCGGGACCAGAAGCGUGGGGGACAAUCCGGUUUAGAGCCCCGUGGUGUCCACGCCGUAAACGAAGGGCGCUCGUCGUCGGCGGCAACCAGUCGGCGGCCAAGCGAAAACGAUAAGCGACCCCCCUGGGGAGUACGGUCGCAAGGCUGAAACUCAAAGGAAAUGACGGGG